rnacentral:rRNA from 1 species
CCCGCACAAGCGGUGGAGCAUGUGGUUUAAUUCGAUGAUACGCGAGGAACCUUACCCGGGCUUGAAAUGCAUCUGACCGGCCUUGAAAGAGGUUUUCCCCUUCGGGGCAGAUGUGUAGGUGCUGCAUGGUUGUCGUCAGCUCGUGCCGUGAGGUGUCGGCUUAAGUGCCAUAACGAGCGCAACCCUCAUCAUUAGUUACCAUCAGGUAAGGCUGGGGACUCUAAUGAGACUGCCAUCGUAAGAUGUGAGGAAGGUGGGGAUGACGUCAAAUCAGCACGGCCCUUACGUCCGGGGCGACACACGUGUUACAAUGGGUGGUACAAAGGGCAGCUACCUGGCGACAGGAUGCUAAUCUCCAAAACCACUCUCAGUUCGGAUCGGAGUCUGCAACUCGACUCCGUGAAGCUGGAUUCGCUAGUAAUCGCGCAUCAGCCACGGCGCGGUGAAUACGUUCCCGGGCCUU